GACGAACGCUGGCGGCGUGCUUAACACAUGCAAGUCGAACGGAAAGGCCCUGCUUUUGUGGGGUGCUCGAGUGGCGAACGGGUGAGUAACACGUGAGUAACCUGCCCUUGACUUUGGGAUAACUUCAGGAAACUGGGGCUAAUACCGGAUAGGAGCUCCUGCUGCAUGGUGGGGGUUGGAAAGUUUCGGCGGUUGGGGAUGGACUCGCGGCUUAUCAGCUUGUUGGUGGGGUAGUGGCUUACUAAGGCUUUGACGGGUAGCCGGCCUGAGAGGGUGACCGGCCACAUUGGGACUGAGAUACGGCCCAGACUCCUACGGGAGGCAGCAGUGGGGAAUAUUGCACGAUGGGCGGAAGCCUGAUGCAGCAACGCCGCGUGCGGGAUGACGGCCUUCGGGUUGUAAACCGCGUUCGCCUGUGACGAAGCGUGAGUGACGGUAAUGGGUAAAGAAGCACCGGCUAACUACGUG
rnacentral:rRNA from 1 species